rnacentral:rRNA from 1 species
GACGAACGCUGGCGGCGUGCCUAAUACAUGCAAGUAGGAUGCAGUUGCGAACGGGUGAGUAACGCGUAGGUAACUGCCUAUUAGAGGGGGAUAACUAUUGGAAACGAUAGCUAAUACCGCAUACUAGUAGAUGGACCUGCGUUGUAUUAGCUAGUAGGUAGGGUAAUGGCCUACCUAGGCGACGAUACAUAGCCGACCUUGGAGGGGGAUCGGUCAACCUGGGACUGAGACACGGCCCAGACUCCUACGGGAGGGAACAGUAGGGAAUCUUCGGAAAUUGGGGGAAACCUGACCGAGCAACGGCGCGGGAGUGAAGAAGGUUUUCGGAUCGUAAAGCUCUGUUGUUAAGGAAGCGGUACUUAACCAGAAAGGGACGGCUAACUACGUGCCAGCAGCCGCGGUAAUAC